AAAAUCUUGUGAGCACAGUUUUGAGCCUAUUUGGGCAGCUGUCCCCUGCAAACUCCACUUAGCUGCUCCCAUCAGACCCAGAAGCCUCACCCCUGCAGAAUGUUCCAGGUGGACUUUUGAGUUCAAUUUCCACUGGGUCCCGGGAGGAUCUUUUGGGGACCUGAACAGGGAUGUCACAAGGCCGUAACCUGAGCUGCAGCUCUCUCCCCUCACAAAGGAGAAAAGAGGCGGCAUCUGACAGAACAAGCAGGAGAAAACAAAAGAUUUGGUGAAGAGAGUUCACGAGUCUGACUUUAUAAUGGAGCAAUUAAGGAAACAAACACUUCAAUUUGUUCCUGCCAUGCAGCUCACCUGUAAUGCUCCAGACAACACCUCAUCUCUUCAGAAAUACUCCUAAGCACGUGCUUAACAUGAAGCGUGCUUUAUUGAACAAGGAUGGACUUACGCACAUGCUUAAAUGCUUUGCUGAAUUGGGGCCCUCAAUAAACAAUACACUGGAUUGCACCAGAGGUGAUAAAAAAAAAUCUGCUACCAGGUUUCUUGGGAGUGUUGUGUGUUCCCAAACUAAUUUUAAAAACAUAUUUUCUCUCUUCAGCAAAUCUUUUUCUUGUUAGUACCUACACCUAGAAAACAAUGGACUCUGGGCAAUGGGUAGAAUUCCAUUUGAUUUUAUAUGUGGAUUUUGGCAUCGGUGCAAGGGCACAAACAGGGAGACGAGCUAGAGCAAGCUCCCUAACAAGCCAAGUAACGAAUAUAAAAGGGAGUCGGAAGUACUGGAAGCUCAAGGUGCCCUGGCUUUGUAGAAGAGCCCUUGUAAAAGUGGCCUUCUCUCGUCACUGAGACAGGUGGAAGCACAGCCCCCUGGGACGCCGUUGCUGUUGAAAGUGUUCGGAUUCAACAAAACCAGACAACUCGCUGAUACACACGUUUGCCAAAGUAGGGGCGUGCUCCAAAACCCACAGACAUCAGUGCGAGUCCUUCCAUCGAUGUCAAUGGGCUUUGGGGCAGACCCUAUUUGCAGUUCCUGUUUUAAGGUAGAGGGGGCCAGCAAAGCAAGGGACUGCUAGGCGUCCCAAACAGGCUUGUUGCCUCACUCGUCUUGUCCACCCCAUCUGCUCCGCUAACAGUGAACCUCACAACCGGACCCCUCCCAUCCUCUCUCUAGCUUUGGGCACCACAAUUCGUAAGACCAGGGUUGCCCCAGUAUUAAGUGGAACACUGAGCACCGUCCGAAAGCAUCACAUUGAAUAGAAAGUGACCUCUCACCCCACAAAACAAAUAAAUAAGUGUCCAGCCCAGACAUGCUGGCUCUCGCCAGUGUUUUCUCCUGGGUUUUCAAUGGAUCUGGAAUUCAUACGAGUCUUGUUGUCUUCCUGCGUGUAUCAGUAUCGUUAAAGACUUGGGAUGUUCCUAGCAAUAACAUUUGUUAGAUAACCUUCUGCAGAGCUGGCAGAGAGAGAGAGCGAGCACAAAGUGGUUUAUAUGGGUUCUGCAAAAAUGGUUGCUUUCUACUACUCCUCUUCUCCACUUUUCAUCCCCACCCCCCUUUCUUUUUUCAUUUGUGCCAGAGUGGGGGUAUUUUUUGAGUUUACAUUAGGUGUCAUUGCUACACAAUUUGUUGAAACGGCCCAUUUUCCUUUCAUACAUUCUCAUUUGACAUUUUAUGCGCUGUUGUUUUUUCAUCUGAAAACCUUCCAUUUAAAAAUUCAUUUAAAAGAUUCUCGGCAGUGUGGAUCUGUGUUUAAAACAAUUCUCCUUAGAACCCAGAGAACAUUCCCCAGGAGACAGUCACCAUUUUGAAGUUGAACUGAAAAUAUGUUUUAAGAAAAUAAAUGCAAAAACUGUAGGGAAGUCUAUGAGGGUGUAGGGGCAUAGAUUCCACUCCCUUCCCUGUUCCAGACACAGAACCCUCAUAAGCUAUAAUAGUAGCUGCUGAUAUUACAUCAGAAUUCUUGGCCUCUGGAUCUGUGUAAUUGCAGAUUCUAUGGUCCCAGCAUAUCUCCAAGCUGCUGUUUCCCCUUGCUUACAUGCCAGCCCACUUGAGGGCUGAGCAGGGUGUGAAGACACCAGUCUAUGUUUAUAUGUUGCAAUAUAUUAUACAGCCACUAGAUGUCUCUGCUGUACAGAGUUCCAGACAGGGUGUGGUCUAUGGUAAACCAAGGAGACAAAGGCAGAACUCAAGUGGUGUAGAAACCUAUUUUUGCACCUGUAGUUUGCAGUUGCUUUCUUUAAUAAAUGCUUCCUAUUUAAGGUA